UCAGGAUGAACGCUAGCUACAGGCUUAACACAUGCAAGUCGAGGGGCAGCAUUAUCGAAGCUUGCUUUGAUAGAUGGCGACCGGCGCACGGGUGAGUAACGCGUAUCCAACCUUCCCCCAUAGUCAGGAAUAGCCCGGCGAAAGUCGAAUUAAUGCCUGAUGUUUUCCACGGACGGCAUCCGAUGUGGAACAAAGAUUCAUCGCUAUGGGAUGGGGAUGCGUCUGAUUAGCUUGUUGGCGGGGUAACGGCCCACCAAGGCAACGAUCAGUAGGGGUUCUGAGAGGAAGGUCCCCCCACAUUGGAACUGAGACACGGUCCAAACUCCUACGGGAGGCAGCAGUGAGGAAUAUUGGUCAAUGGGCGGAAGCCUGAACCAGCCAAGUAGCGUGAGGGAUGACUGCCCUAUGGGUUGUAAACCUCUUUUAUAAGGGAAUAAAAUACGGGACGUGUCCUGUUUUGCAUGUACCUUAUGAAUAAGGACCGGCUAAUUCCGUG
rnacentral:rRNA from 1 species